GAUGAACGCUAGCGGCAGGCCUAACACAUGCAAGUCGAGGGGUAUAGGGAGCUUGCUUCCUAGGGACCGGCGCACGGGUGCGUAACGCGUAUGCAAUCUACCUUGUACAGGGGAAUAGCCCAGAGAAAUUUGGAUUAAUGCCCCAUAGUAUUAUUAAAUGGCAUCCUUUAAUAAUUAAAGUUCCAACGGUACAAGAUGAGCAUGCGUCCUAUUAGUUAGUUGGUGUGGUAACGGCAUACCAAGACGAUGAUAGGUAGGGGUCCUGAGAGGGAGAUCCCCCACACUGGUACUGAGACACGGACCAGACUCCUACGGGAGGCAGCAGUGAGGAAUAUUGGACAAUGGGCGCAAGCCUGAUCCAGCCAUGCCGGCGUGCAGGAAGACGGUCCUAUGGAUUGUAAACUGCUUUUAUACAGGAAGAAACACUGGUUCGUGAACCAGCUUGAACGGUACUGUAAGAAUAAGGAUCGGCUAAACUCCGUGCCAGCAG
rnacentral:rRNA from 1 species